AUGAGUUAAUAUUUACUUGAUUUCACUUAGCUUAUUGUGCUAGAUUUAAUCAGGGAAUUGUGCUUAAAUGUCCGGGAAGUUGUUGGAUAAUAUUUGGGACAUUUGGAGGUGAAAAGAAAAUGCCACAUCAAAUAUACUUUAAACUAAGAUGAGAGAAGAGGUGUGGAUUUCAAUUUUGGGGGUGCACAUGUCCACGUCUUGGAAUGUGAGGGAAGGAAGCAAUGGGCUGGAUUUAUUUGGAGAGGUUCACACGUAAUGGAUGAGCAACGGUCCAACAGAAGAAAUGUGUGUCAUGGCUGGAAGCAUGUGGUGGCAGAGGGAGAAGCACACCCGGCCCACACUUGGCUGCACGCGUCCAGCAAAUUGAAGCAAAGGCCUAAUCCAGUCUUCACUUCAUCACGCAUCCAGCAGAUGGGGGUGCAACAAAAGAAGACAGCUGCUGGCAUAGGGGGGCCCAUGGACAAAUGAAAUUGGGAGCAUCCAGCACUCAUGUUAGUCCAACAUUCAGCAUUCACACAAUCCAGUAGCUGACGCGUCCAACAAGCAAGAGGGGUGGCAUCCAGCAGCUUGAGUGUCACGGCCUGAUUUUGGAAGCUCCAUCCGCAAGCUUGGAGGGGUGCACACGGAAAUAACUUCAGCGUCCAGAUUUGGUAGUAUGAGAGGCGGUCCAGCUAGGCAUGGGGCACGUGGAGGUAGGUCUAGAAGUUUGGAGAAAAAGAGAUAAAAGGAGAGGACAACACGCUUGGAUAGAAGGUUACGGGUGAGGGCUGGGGCACUAGGUCCAGCCGCCACUUGGGAAAGGAGGGAGAGAGGUGCUUCAUUUUGGUUUUGAUUCUCGGCCACAGCAGCAAGCAAUGUAGUUCACGGUGGGGGCUGGAAGAAGCAAUGAAACGAUGAUUCAUGAUGGGAAACAUUUUUAAUUUUUGAAGCUCUACACGUUGUUUUUAAUUUCCUUAUCAUUUUCUUUUUAGAAGCACACAACUCACUUUCAACAUUGGGUGUUACAGUGGGAUCUCUUUUAAUCACAUUUAGCUUGAAUUUUCAUUUAAGAAAAAAAUGGUGAUUUAUUUAA